rnacentral:misc_RNA from 1 species
GAUGAAGAACGCAGCGAAAUGCGAUAAGUAAUGUGAAUUGCAGAAUUCAGUGAAUCAUGGAAUCUUUGAACGCACAUUGCGCCCUCUGGUAUUCCGGGGGGCAUGCCUGUUCGAGCGUCAUUAUAACCACUCAAGCUCUCGCUUGGUAUUGGGGUUCGCGGUUCCGCGGCCCCUAAAAUCAGUGGCGGUGCCUGUCGGCUCUACGCGUAGUAAUACUCCUCGCGAUUGAGUCCGGUAGGUCUACUUGCCAGCAACCCCCAAUUUUUACAGGUUGACCUCGGAUCAGGUAGGGAUACCCGCUGAACUUAAGCAUAUCAAUAAGCGGAGGA